rnacentral:rRNA from 1 species
GAGUUUGAUCUUGGCUCAGAUUGAACGCUGGCGGCAUGCUUUACACAUGCAAGUCGAACGGCAGCACGGGGUUUACCCUGGUGGCGAGUGGCGAACGGGUGAGGAAUACAUCGGAACGUGUCUAUAAGUGGGGGAUAACGCAUCGAAAGGUGUGCUAAUACCGCAUAAUCUCUCAGGAGAAAAGCAGGGGAUCGCAAGACCUUGCGCUUUAGGAGCGGCCGAUGCCUGAUUAGCUUGUUGGUAAGUAAAGCUUACCAAGGCUUCGAUCAGUAGCUGGUCUGAGAGGACGACCAGCCACACUGGGACUGAGACACGGCCCAGACUCCUACGGGAGGCAGCAGUGGGAAUUUUGGACAAUGGGGAAACCCUGAUCCAGCCAUGCCGCGUGAGUGAAGAAGGCCUUC